rnacentral:rRNA from 1 species
UACGUAGGGGGCAAGCGUUGUCCGGAAUCAUUGGGCGUAAAGAGCGCGUAGGCGGCCCGAUAAGUCCGCUGUGAAAGUCAAGGGCUUAACCCUUGAAUGCCGGUGGAAACUGUCGGGCUAGAGUCCGGAAGAGGCGAGUGGAACUCCUGGUGUAGCGGUGGAAUGCGCAGAUAUCAGGAAGAACACCGACGGCGAAGGCAGCUCGCUGGGACGGUACUGACGCUGAGGCGCGAAAGCGUGGGGAGCGAACAGG